UCCCACUUAAAUUUUUGAUUUUUUCAUUUAUACCCUUUUAAAAAUAACACUUAGUUAAUAUAUAUAUUAAAUUAAAAAAUAUUGUCAACUUCAUUGGAGGCAGGUUAGAAAAAUAAAUGAAAAAGACGUAGAGUCUGCAUCUUUUUAGUAUACAAGUACGCUUAUCGAACAAUUUUUAAACAUACCCUAUCUUAAACCAUUUCACUGAACUGUAAUAUUAUUUUGAUGUACUGUUGUUACUGUGCCUUUAUGUAACUAUGCAUAGCUAAAUCUCUCUUUAAAUUUUGCUCAAAAAAGUAUUCUUUUGCUGUUUAAUGCUAUAAUAAUAACAAAUUAUUAUCUAAAUCAUUUUGUAACUUUAACAUUUUUAAAAAUUCUUUGUGUUUUAGCCCCUAUGAUAAGUAAUUAAGGUAGCUAUAUUAUUACUUUUUUUCUGUAUUGCUACAAUUCUUUACUCGUGAGUAAUAAGACGAUAGUCAUAUUAUUAAUGCUAAGUAUAAUGCAGCUGAAAUAAUAAGCUAUUUAAAUUUAUUUUUUACUAUUUUAUAUUAAAUCUAAAAUUAUUUAACUAUAAAUAAAUCAGUUAUUUUUAUACAAAUCGAAUUAAUUUAGCUGAGGUUUUUUGAACUGAGGUUUAGCCUGGUUGUCAGCUCAUAUUCUGUUUUUAUAUCGUAUUUUACAAUGAUGUAAUUAUUUAAUAAUUACUGAUAAUUUUAAUUAAUAUUUUUUUAUUCUAAUUCACUUCUCAUUUUAUUUAAUUAUAAUACUUCCUUUUUUCCCAAUAAGUCUCUUUGAUUUCAUGGUAUCUAUGUUUUGUUUUUGUUUAAAGAUACAAUAAGUUUUUAUUUGUAGUUAUUUUUGAUUAAAGAAGAAAAAUAGUCGAUACGUGACUGGCUUGCAUACUGUUAAAAGUGAAAAUUAAAUUGUUAACGCAAAAUUAAUUUGCUCAAAAUAAAUGGUGCAGGAACCAAUGUAUUUAAAUGUUAAGUGCUUGCAUUGAUGUUUAAUGCAAAUAUACUGUGUAGA